rnacentral:rRNA from 1 species
AGAGUGGACGCUGGCGGUAGGCCUAACACAUGCAAGUCGAUCGGCAGCACAGUGGUAGCAAUACCAUGGGUGGCGAGUGGCGGACGGGUGAGGAAUACAUCGGAAUCUACCUUUUCGUGGGGGAUAACGUAGGGAAACUUACGCUAAUACCGCAUACGCCCUUCGGGGGAAAGCCGGGGAUCGCAAGACCUGGCGCGGAUAGAUGAGCCGAUGUCGGAUUAGCUAGUUGGUGAGGUAAUGGCUCACCAAGGCGACGAUCCGUAGCUGGUCUGAGAGGAUGAUCAGCCACACUGGAACUGAGACACGGUCCAGACCUCCUACGGGAGCAGCAGGUGGGGAAUA